rnacentral:lncRNA from 1 species
UGGAUCAGAGCCAGAGGAGAUACUGGGCCUGCUUUGUGAGGCAACAAUUGGCUAAUUCCGUAUGCUUUGGUCUGGCACCCUCACAACGAAGUCAGCAUCUAAGAAACAACAAUCCAAGGACGGCAAGCGGGUCUUCACUUUGAUUGCCUAGAGCACCGCAUAGGCUAUGCAGUGCACAGGAUUGCAGUGUACCACACUGCGGUACAAUGCGUGGCAUGGGAUGCUGAGGCUGCAUUUGGGUCAUUUCAUUCAACAGUUGCAUACAGAAUGCCUACUAUGUGAAUAUGCCAGGAAAUGUCCCAGGAAUCCAAAACACACAAAAGAAAGAAAUCAACCAAUCUAUCAAUCCUUGUCUCCACACAGCUGAUCCUGGAAAGAGUGUCCUGACUAAGUAAAGAUGUCUUCCACAAACAUGGGAGGCAGGAAUUGAAGCAAUUUACCUUCCACCUACCGUCCUUCCAAUCCCUUAGCAUUGGAUUUUCAG